ensembl:lncRNA
CUCUCAUGUUCCUUCUGUUUCACUUGUUCUCUCUCCAAUUCCUCUCUUUUCUUUCUUUUUUCCUCAUGUAUUUUUUUUCUUUCUUUCUUUUUUUUUCUUCCUCUCUCUCUCUCUCCUGGUCUCUCUCGCUCUCUCUCUCUCUUCCAGCCCCAUUUUCACAUUCCUCUGUUUUCAGAGACAGGCUCCUCCCUUCUCCUCCUCCCUCCCUUCCUCCCUCCCUCUAUUCUCUCUCUCUCUCUGUCUGUAUCUGUGCAUGUGUGUUCAGUUGUUCAGUAGCAGUGUAUCUCUCCGUGGCAGGGGCAGCUUCAUUCUCUCCUGCAGGAUGUCGGGCCCUCGGACCAGCUCCAUACUGCUGCUGUUCACCAUCGCCUCCCUGCAGAACGCUCUGCUGGAGGCCAAGCCUCUUUCUGCCAUGCAUGGGGGCGGAGCUGUGCGCCUUCGUCGUGACCUGCGUGACUCACUGCCUUAUGAAGCCCAGAUGAUGUCCUAUCCCACUGCUGACUUCAAGGGGCGGGGUAAUGAGCUGUACUACCAGCCAGAGGCGGUGAGGGCGCAGGGGCUGGGUCAGGCCCUCCAAAGGCUGAUGGAGAACGACCAGCGGCGGGAGCAGGAAGCAGCGUAUCUGGCAGGUCUACUGCGCCUCCUGAAUGAGGCGGAGAAUAAUGGCCAAGGGAAACAGGAGGAAGAGGAGGAGGAAGAGGAAGGAGACUUCCAGGGGCCAUACCCGCCAGACUAUGAUGAGACGGAGCAGACGGUCAGCAUGGCUAAGCCACAGGCCCUGCUGGACCCCCAGCUGGCCGAGGCUCUGCUCAACCGCUACAGACAGGAGAGGCUGCUUCAGGCUGGGCUUAACCCAACCUCCAACCGCCUCCCAGACAGAGAGCAGGAGAGGGACCAGGAGGUGCUCCGGUACCUGGUUGAGAAAAUUCUCUCCAGUCUGGCUCCAGGGAACCAGCCGAGCCCCUCCAACCGCCGAGCCAAACGGGACGUGAGUGCGGUGGCCAGCGUCGGACGGGGUGGAGCUUCCUUGAGACGAUCCAGACGCUCUGUGGACUCCGUCCCCGUCCCCUCGCCCAGCGCUGAGGCCUCACUGCUGCGGGUGAAGAGGCUGGGUGAUGAAGAGGAUGAUGAAGGUUUUGCUGCCCAGAGCAACAGAUCACCCCACGCUGGGCUGCAGAGGAUGAAACGCAUCGACACAGACAUGCCGCUCCCUCUGAAACACAGCCGCAAACGCCGGGCGGUGUCCUAUGACCCCAGUGUCAUCGCUCAGCACAUCCUACAGUACCUACCAGCAUAA